ACGCUAGCGGGAGGCCUAACACAUGCAAGCCGAGCGGUAGAAGAUCUUCGGAUCUUUGAGAGCGGCGUACGGGUGCGGAACACGUGUGCAACCUGCCUUUAUCAGGGAGAUAGCCUUUCGAAAGGAAGAUUAAUAUCCCAUAAUAUUUUGAAUGGCAUCAUUUAAAAUUGAAAGCUCCGGCGGAUAGAGAUGGGCACGCGCAAGAUUAGAUAGUUGGCGGGGUAACGGCCCACCAAGUCAAUGAUCUUUAGGGGGCCUGAGAGGGUGAUCCCCCACACUGGUACUGAGACACGGACCAGACUCCUACGGGAGGCAGCAGUGAGGAAUAUUGGACAAUGGGUGAGAGCCUGAUCCAGCCAUCCCGCGUGAAGGACGACGGCCCUAUGGGUUGUAAACUUCUUUUGUAUAGGGAUAAACCUACCCUCGUGAGGGUAGCUGAAGGUACUAUACGAAUAAGCACCGGCUAACUCCGUGCCAGCAGCCGCGGUAAUACGGAGGGUGCAAGCGUUAUCCGGAUUUAUUGGGUUUAAAGGGUCCGUAAGCGGACUCGUAAGUCAGUGGUGAAAUCUCAUAGCUUAACUAUGAAACUGCCAUUGAUACUGCGGGUCUUGAGUAAGGUAGAGGUAGCUGGAAUAAGUAGUGUAGCGGUGAAAUGCAUAGAUAUUACUU
rnacentral:rRNA from 1 species